GGUCAGAGUAGGUCAAGUAGAUGCAUUUUUAAAUAAUAUUUUUCCAUCACUGGAUGCAACAAACAGUGUGACCUGCGCCCUAAACAACAGAGCUCCUAUAGCCGCCCGCAGGGAUUUGCUUGAGACAGAAUUAGCAUCUCAGUUUUGUGCUGGAGGGGCUAGCCAGGGUUUAGCAGUGUCAACAGUAAAUCAAGGGCCAAGUUCAGUGGCUCCUGUAGCUCCACAUUUCCAGGCCCAUCAUUGUUUUGGACCUUGGACUACUAACAGGAGAAGAAGGUCUGGAGCCAACGGAGGAGCGCUAAAGUCAAGAACCCACAAGGAGCUCAGGAACACAAAGAAGCUUUGGAACAGGAACACAGACGGGCCCACCUGGACAUCCUCAACGGAGACCUCAGGAGCUGGAGCACAAGGCUGGUCCACCUGGCCAUCGUAGUCAGAGACCUCGCAAACUGAAGCACGAGGCUGCAGCAGCAGCUUGAAGUGAGGAGCAAGCACUGGCGCAGGCUCUGAGGCUUUGAGGCAGCAUGGAGCAUGCUCUGUGACCUCUGAAUGGCUUUAGUAUUAAAGCUUGAUUUAAGGCUAUCUAAAUAAAUGUUAACCAAUGACAGAAGCA